UACGUAGGGGGCGAGCGUUGUCCGGAUUCAUUGGGCGUAAAGCGCGCGUAGGCGGCAGGGCAAGUCGGCCGUGAAAUCUCCCAGCUUAACUGGGAGGGGUCGGGCGAGACUGCCCCGCUAGAGGCGGGUAGAGGGCAGUGGAAUUCCGGGUGUAGUGGUGGAAUGCGUAGAGAUCCGGAGGAACACCAGUGGCGAAGGCGGCUGCCUGGGCCUGGCCUGACGCUGAGGCGCGAAAGCCAGGGGAGCGAACGGG
rnacentral:rRNA from 1 species